UCAUUCACUCAGUAACUUAUUCAUCAUAUUAUCGAACGAUCAAUCAAUCAAUCAAUCAAUCUAUCUAUAUAUCUAUCUCAAUUUAAACAUUUAAUCUAUCUAUCCUAUUUGAAAUAUACAAUCAAAUAGCAAUCAACGAAUAAAAGAACGAAGAAAAUAACUUUUUUUCUAAUAACAUUAAUUCAUUUUUUUCCUUUCUAUAUUGGUCUGAUUGUAAACCAUUCUAUCUAAUAUCAAUGUAUCGAUUUGGAAUUAAUUUUCUUUCGCUGUUGUAGUUUCAAGACUGAAUUCUCUUUAUAAUUCAUAGUUCUGCUCUUGUUCAACACUUAUAUAAUGAUUCGAAAACAAACAACACACAAUUAUGAUGUUUCAACAAAUGAAUGAAUAAUGAUGGUUGACACUGUUAUUUGUUUUGUCAACAUUUA